rnacentral:rRNA from 1 species
UACGUAGGGUCCGAGCGUUGUCCGGAAUUACUGGGCGUAAAGAGCUCGUAGGUGGUUUGUCGCGUUGUUCGUGAAAACUCACAGCUUAACUGUGGGCGUGCGGGCGAUACGGGCAGACUUGAGUACUGCAGGGGAGACUGGAAUUCCUGGUGUAGCGGUGGAAUGCGCAGAUAUCAGGAGGAACACCGGUGGCGAAGGCGGGUCUCUGGGCAGUAACUGACGCUGAGGAGCGAAAGCGUGGGGAGCGAACAAG